rnacentral:misc_RNA from 1 species
CGGAGAAGAAGGGCGACUUCC